rnacentral:rRNA from 1 species
GACGUAGGGCGCGAGCGUUGUCCGGAUUUAUUGGGCGUAAAGAGCUCGUAGGCGGCUUGUCGCGUCGACUGUGAAAUCCCGCGGCUCAACUGCGGGUCUGCAGUCGAUACGGGCAGGCUAGAGUUCGGUAGGGGAGACUGGAAUUCCUGGUGUAGCGGUGAAAUGCGCAGAUAUCAGGAGGAACACCGAUGGCGAAGGCAGGUCUCUGGGCCACUACUGACGCUGAGAAGCGAAAGCAUGGGGAGCGAACAGG